GAGAGGGAGCUUGCUUCCUUGAUCGAGUGGCGAACGGGUGAGUAACGCGUGAGGACCUGCCUCAAAGAGGGGGACAACAGUUGGAAACGACUGCUAAUACCGCAUAAGCCGGCAUCGGAAAAGGAGCAAUCCGCUUUGAGAUGGCCUCGCGUCCGAUUAGCUAGUUGGUGAGGUAACGGCCCACCAAGGCGACGAUCGGUAGCCGGACUGAGAGGUUGAACGGCCACAUUGGGACUGAGACACGGCCCAGACUCCUACGGGAGGCAGCAGUGGGGAAUAUUGCACAAUGGGGGAAACCCUGAUGCAGCGACGCCGCGUGGAGGAAGAAGGUCUUCGGAUUGUAAACUCCUGUUGUUGAGGAAGAUAAUGACGGUACUCAACAAGGAAGUGACGGCUAACUACGUGCCAGCAGCCGCGGUAAAACGUAGGUCACAAGCGUUGUCCGGAAUUACUGGGUGUAAAGGGAGCGCAGGCGGGCGAUCAAGUUGGAAGUGAAAUCCAUGGGCUCAACCCAUGAACUGCUUUCAAAACUGGUCGUCUUGAGUAGUGCAGAGGUAGGCGGAAUUCCCGGUGUAGCGGUGGAAUGCGUAGAUAUCGGGAGGAACACCAGUGGCGAAAGCGGCCUACUGGGCACCAACUGACGCUGAGGCUCGAAAGUGUGGGUAG
rnacentral:rRNA from 1 species